AUUCCAGCUCCAAUAGCGUAUAUUAAAGUUGUUGUGGUUAAAAAGCUCGUAGUUGGAUCUCGGCGGUCUGAGGGCGGUUCGCUUCAGAGCGCUACUGCCCUAUAGACCGUAGUUUUGCCAGAGGUCUCAGGGUGCUCUUAACCGAGUGUCUUGCGAUGCUGGCAGGUUUACUUUGAAAAAAUUAGAGUGCUCAAAGCAGGCUUUUACGCCUGAAUAUUCGUGCAUGGAAUAAUAGAAUAGGAAGUCGUUUCUAUUUUGUUGGUUUUCGGAAAUCGACUUAAUGAUUAAUAGGGACAGUUGGGGGCAUUAGUAUUUAAUUGUCAGAGAUGAAAUUCUUGGAUUAGUUAAAGACUAACGUAUGCGAAAGCAUUUGCCAAGGAUGUUUUCAUUG
rnacentral:rRNA from 1 species